rnacentral:rRNA from 1 species
GAUGAACGCUGGCGGCGUGCCUAAUACAUGCAAGUCGAGCGAACAGACGAGGAUCUUGCUCCUCUGACGUUAGCGGCGGACGGGUGAGUAACACGUGUAUAACCUACCUAUAAGACUGGGAUAACUUCGGGAAACCGGAGCUAAUACCGGAGAAUAUAUUGAACCGCAUGGUUCAUUAGUGAAAGACGGUUUUGGUGUAACGUAUAGAUGGAUCGCGGCCGCAUUAGCUAGUUGGUAAGUUAACGGCUUACCAAGGGAAGCAUGCGUAGCCGACCUGAGAGGGUGAUCGGCGACACUGGAAGUGGGACACGGUCAAUACUCCUACGGGAGGGAGCAGUAGGGAACGUUCGGCAACGGGCGGAAGCCUGACGGAGCAACGCCGCGUGAGUGAUGAAGGCCUUCGGAUCGUAAAACUCUGUUAUUAGGGAAGAACAAAUGUGUAAGUAACCAUGCACGUCUUGACGGUAACUAAUCAGAAAGCAACGGCUAACUACGUG